UCGGAGAGUGCGUUUAGUUUU
rnacentral:piRNA from 1 species